rfam:Ipomoea nil DNA, scaffold: scaffold0114, cultivar: Tokyo-kokei standard.
GCGUUUGUAAUCCAACGGUUAGGAUAAUUGCCUUCUAAGCAAUAGACUUGGGUUCAACUCUCGGUAAAUGCA